rnacentral:rRNA from 1 species
CCCUUAGAGUUUGAUCCUGGCUCAGGACGAACGCUGGCGGCGCGCCUAACACAUGCAAGUCGAACGAGAGAUGAGGAGCUUGCUCUUCAGAUCGAGUGGCGAACGGGUGAGUAACGCGUGAGGAACCUGCCUCAAAGAGGGGGACAACAGUUGGAAACGACUGCUAAUACCGCAUAAGCCCACGGCUCGGCAUCGAGCAGAGGGAAAAGGAGUGAUCCGCUUUGAGAUGGCCUCGCGUCCGAUUAGCUAGUUGGUGAGGUAAUGGCCCACCAAGGCAACGAUCGGUAGCCGGACUGAGAGGUUGAACGGCCACAUUGGGACUGAGACACGGCCCAGACUCCUACGGGAGGCAGCAGUGGGGAAUAUUGCACAAUGGGGGAAACCCUGAUGCAGCGACGCCGCGUGGAGGAAGAAGGUCUUCGGAUUGUAAAC